rnacentral:rRNA from 1 species
AACGUAGGAGACGAACGUUAUCCGGAGUUACUGGGCGUAAAGGGCGUGUAGGCGGUUUGUUAAGUCUGGCGUGAAAGCUCUCGGCUAAACCGGGAGAGGUCGUUGGAUACUGGCGAACUAGAGGAUGGUAGAGGCGUGUGGAAUUCCGGGUGUAGUGGUGAAAUGCGUAGAUAUCGGGAGGAACACCAGUGGCGAAAGCGGCUACCUGGCCCAUUCGUUGACGCUGAGGCGCGAAAGCUAGGGAGCAAACGGGG